rnacentral:rRNA from 1 species
AGAGAAGCAAAGCCGCGAGGUAGAGCAAAUCUCGAAAAAACAUCUCAGUUCAGACUGCAGGCUGCAACUCGCCUGCACGAAGUCGGAAUUGCUAGUAAUCGUAGGUCAGCAUACUACGGUGAAUACGUUCCCGGGCCUUGUACACACCGCCCGUCAAACCAUGAGAGUUGGCAACACCCGAAGUCGGUAGUCUAACCGCAAGGAGGACGCCGCCGAAGGUGGGGUCGAUGAUUAGGGUUAAGUCGUAACAAGGUAAC